GAUCAUGGUAGUUUUAAACCCAAACCGCUAGGCCGUGGCCCUAGCAAUAGAAGACCCGCCUACACCUUCUCCAUGACC
rnacentral:tRNA from 1 species